rnacentral:lncRNA from 1 species
CGGUAUCCACUCGAGCAGGAUCUGGAUCAUCUUCUCUUCACGGAUCUUCGCUCUAAAAAUCAGAUCUGGAUCUGAUCUGGAAGUUCUUCAAAAGACCUUCUGAAGCUGGAGCAGUGGCUUCUCGACAGAUUGCUGCAGCCUCCUGAUCAGGCCGCCACCACGUCUUGGAUUAGCACCAGAUGGAUGCUUAACUUCUUGGGCG